ACCCAAGGUUGACCUGAAACCGCU
rnacentral:siRNA from 1 species